UACAGAGGGUGCGAGCGUUAAUCGGAAUCACUGGGCUUAAAGCGUUCGUGGGCGGGUCUGUAGGCGCGUUGUGAAAGCCCUCGGCUCAACCGGGGAACUGCUUCGCGAACCACAGAUCUUGAGUCAAGUAGGGGCGAUCGGAACGAUAGGUGGAGCGGUGAAAUGCGUAGAUAUCUAUCGGAACGCCGAAGGUGAAGACAGGUCGCUGGGCUUGUACUGACGCUGAGGAACGAAAGCGUGGGGAGCAAACGGG
rnacentral:rRNA from 1 species